rnacentral:rRNA from 1 species
AGGAUUAACGCUGGCGGCGUGCCUGACACAUGCAAGUCGAACGAGGCCGCAAGGCCGAGUGGCGGACGGGUGAGUAACACGUGACCAACCAACCUCGAAGUUGGGAAUAGCUCUGCGAAAGUAGGGGUAAUACCGAAUGUGGCCCAGGGCGGGCAUCCGCCUUGGUCUAAAGAUUCAUCGCUUCGAGACGGGGUCGCGGCCUAUUAGCUUGUUGGUGAGGUAACGGCUCACCAAGGCGAUGAUGGGUAGCUGGUCUGAGAGGACGACCAGCCACACUGGGACUGAGACACGGCCCAGACUCCUACGGGAGGCAGCAGUGAGGAAUCUUCCGCAAUGGGCGAAAGCCUGACGGAGCAACGCCGCGUGUGGGAUGAAGGCUCUAGGGUUGUAAACCACUGUCGGAGGGGACGAUCGUGACCGGUACCCUCCAAGAAACGCCCCGGCUAACUACGUGCCAGCAGCCGC